CACACAGUGUGGUUGUUGCUGUUGCAGUAUAAAUACAGGGAACCUUCCCCUCAGACAACCAAUUUUGGCAGGACUGGGACACAGCGCAGAGAUCCCCAAGCUCUCAGAUCAACUGCUCCAUCAUGGCCUGCAUGGAAAAGAAGGAUUUCCCCUCCCUCAGACCUUCUCACCACUGUCCUGGAGGCUCAGGACUGAGCCAAAGCUGGCUGCUGUCCGUCGGAUGGUUCCCCUCAUCUGCAGUUGGGUGUUGGAUCAGAGCCCGUCCCUGAAAAAUCAUAACUGUUAACAGAGGUGUCUGGGAGCGAUCGCAGCAGUGAUGGGAGAUGGAAGAGCACCAGCGGGGGCCUUUGUUACCGCGAGCCAAGGAGGAGUUUGGGAAGAGCCGCUCCAAAUCACCUGAUCUCCUGAUGGAAGAAUUGGAGGGGAGACCAGCAAAGGAAGGAGGUGAGCUGAGAUACCCAUGGGAAGCGCUUUGCUGAUUUGUUUGUUUGUACUUAAUAUGAUAUUCUCAGGGUGACGCUGAUUCAGGUAUAAUGGACUGUCCACAAUGCCAAUGGGUGCUGAGCAUCCAGGUGAGAAUGCAGGGAUUCCUAUUUACCUCCUGUCUCUUCUCUACCUACGAGUUUCUACGGUUUCUCUGCGACUCCAUUGUAAAGAAUGUGCAUCCCUCAGAGAGGCUUCUGCAGAUUAUAAACCCUGGCAACUAAUAAGCUCUGGAGAUGGGCAAGUUUGGAUUCACGUGGGGCUUAGAGACGCCAAUGGAUUGUGGAUGAAGCAUUUGUUGACCGCUGUGUAAUAGGCUCUAUUUUCUCACCUGUAAGGCGUGCCACAAAACCGUGGUUAAACAGACUUCAGAUCUAAGAGUGAGUUUUUUCAGGUUCUUGGGACACAUCUGUUUAGCACCUUGUUUUGCACAGCCCUCGGUGGCUGUUGCUGGUCAACCAAAAAGAAGGGAGAACAGAUUCGUAUCCUGAGUCAUCCCAUGUCCAAGUAUUUGGGGCUCUGAACGUGUCCUGAUGCUUUUCCAAAGUUUUCAAGAGAUCUGAGCUCUCCAUGUGUUGGAAGGAAAUAAAAUAACUCUUUAGAAAUGCUUAUUUCCUUUACUGCGAGUUAGGAAAUUCCCAGGGACAAAAUCUUAUUAGGAUAGAACUAAGUUGGAAGAUAAAUUGAAAUCCUUUGAUUGAAAGUAUUGUUAUUAAAAAGUUUUAAUUAUUGAGAAGAAAAUGUAGGAAAGGCACUCAGAGCUAACAUAAAAAUGAUUGGAAACUGGUAAUUAAAACAAAAUGCUUGAAAAUUAAACAUCCCAAAAUAUGAAACUGCAAACUCGGCUCUGAUUCAUUACAGCGCUUAAAACCUGGGACUGCUGUUCAAGGUUUGGAUGGUGGGUUUGAUUUCCACAGGUCUGUGUCAGUGCUGGAAAGUGGGGCAAUGGCUGCAGCACUUUUCUGUCUGAGACCACCACGUUUCACAUCCUGUCCUUGUUCUCCACGUUCCCAUCUCUCUCCAUAUUCCAUUUAGAUUUCUAAUUGAAAGCAAUUCCUGCCCCGUCCCUGGAGGCAUUCAAGGCCAGGCUGGAUGUGGCUCUGGGCAGCCUGGUCUGGUGGUUGGCGACCCUGCACGUAGCAGGGGGUUGGAACUGGAUGAGCAUUGUGGUCCUGUGCAACCCAGGCCAUUCUGUGAUUCCAUGACUCUGUCUCAGGCAGUAUCUGGCUGCUACGUUCCCUAAAUGUUCUUAAGCCACCGCAGUUCCACUCAUUCAGAUACUUAAUGCCUUCUCAGCACCGAUACUAUUAUUUUCAGUGAAGUAUCCCAGUGUAGAGCACCAAUUUCUGCCCCGCAAUGGUUGCUUUGCUCGGGAGGCAGCCUGUAGAUUUCUACACAGACUUCUCCAGAACGACCUUGGCAUCUCUCAGCAGUGGCUCCACAUUUCCUCGGGAGCCCUUUCUGCAGGCAGCUGGCAUCACACUGCUCCUGCAGUCAGUGAGCUGAUCUGGGGGUGUGUGGUCACCAAAACUCAAUGUGGAAGAGCCCUGCAAAAGGUAGGAAGUGCUAGCACAGUUCUGUUGGCAUUUUUAAUACCAGGAAGGCCAUCAGCGCUCUGCUAAGCAGAGCCAGGCGGGACCCAUCUACCACCUUUCUUACUAACAUAUUCUUUCUUAAAAGCUUUGCAGUUUCUACACUACCAGAGCAGCGAAUGUCACCUUGCUGACUCUUCAGAAGGAAGGAUGGCCUCGUGGUUGCCUGGGGCACAGCUGGGGGACCACCUCAGCCCUACGCAGGGCAGCCAUGCCUCUGCUCUGCUCACCGUGCUCUUUCCCAGGAGAGCAAGCAACCUUAGACUUGGAAGAAGGAGACACAAGGAAGGACCUGUGAAGAGAAGGGAUGAGUCUGGAGGAUAAAUCUAAGCAUCAAAGUUUUGUGAAAAGAGGUGGGGACAAAGGACUGCGCUCAGGUACCCAAAUGUACCGCACUACUUGAAGCAUCCUGAGGUAUGUGAGACAGCAGGCGUGGAUGGCAGAUGUGAGAAGAGACCUGGAGAACACCCAUACUCUUCCAGCAUGGCAAGUCCUCUAGAGGAUCUUGGAUGGACCCCAAGAGCUCUAACCCUCACACAUCAGGUGACAGCUCAGUACUGAAGGUAACCUCUUGUUUGCCUUUCUUCUGAGGCACUUCAGGGCUUCACCACCAACAGCAACAUCUGAUCUGGGGUCCCAAGUGGUCCCCUGGAGGCUCACUGCUCCUCUUCAGGUGCAAGGAUUCAGAGGUACAUCUGUGGUCACUCAGGGACUCCUUCCCUUCAUGUUGGCUCCUGGUUUUUAUUCCUUUCCUCCUGGGAAAGGCAUAGAGGCACCCCUGCCCUUUCCCCCACCCUCGGGGCUGCUUUGGGAUGGCGGGACAUGGUCAGCCUUUCCGGGGUCCGUGUGAAAGAAGUGAAACGGGAACAUGAAGGUGGUAAUGGAGUGGAAGCAAAGCAGGGAAAGCCUUGCUGAUGGAUUAUUAGGCACUGUCAAAGUUUCAACAGAGUGGAAAACUUGGAGGCCAAAGUGAGUAGUAACCCUUGAAAAAUCACCUCUUCCUUUUCCUGUUGGUGGCAGGGCAGCGUGUCCUGAUCAAAGCUACCCAUCACUGCAUGGCCUCAGUCGCACGAUUUACGAGGCGCUGGGGCAGCAGCCCAUUACCAGUCCUGGUAAUUCAUUGCAAGGGCAACAGGAGGUGUAAAUCCCCUCCCCUCCAAACUUAUGCAUUUACCUAAUUGUCUUUCAAUUGCUGGCCAUGGACAUCAGAAGGGUUGGUGUUGUGAACGAUGAGGGCCAUGAGAGGCACGAUGGGAUGGAGCAGGGGCUGAGGGUCUGUCAUGUUCACUGUGGGUGGGAAAGGAAUGACCCGGGAGGCAGACCCUCUUUCCUCUGCACCCAUUAAAUAGCAGAACAUCUCAUUGGCUUUAAUUGCAUUUUCACCUUCCGGAGUUCCUCUUGGCUGUUUCCCUUGGGAUUAGUGCUGGAGAAGGAGCAUGCUUUGUGCUCACAGGGAGACCUCUGUGUUUCUCAGGGCCUGUGAGACACUGUGCUCCACACACCUGGUAGUUCCUAUUGCCAGCAGGGCUCAGAACCGCCAAAGUCAUUGAUGGCAGCAGGCAGCACCAGCUACAGGGAGAUGUGAGGCCCCACUGUGCUUUGGGACCUCAAGAUGUAGUCACCUCUGUGUGUGUAAUAUCCAUCUACAGCUCCUUCUCUUUACUGGUAGUGCUCAGACAUUCUGCCUUCUCUUAUGGUCUUCUGUGACAUUCCUCCAUUCAAAAAAAAAACCACCAAAACUUUGCAAAAAGCAAAUGUUACUGUUCUCCAAACCCACUAAAGCUCGGAUUUGCUCUUCAUUUUCUUUUUUUUUUUUUUUCUGGCUAUUCUAUCCAUUUGCUCUCACUCCCUCUCUGUCUUCACCCCUCCUCAAUCUAUCAGCUCCCCUUCUCAGUUCUCCUUUGCCCUUUCUCACCUUGUCCUCUAUUUUCCCUGCACUACAGUCUUUCUGCUCUUCGAGCUGGGCUCCAGCUGUUUCUUCCUUUCAAAAGGUCCUUUUCCAUUUGCUCUUCCCCGACUUUCUCCUUUUUUUCUGGUGUUCCCUAUGUAAAUUCUCAACUCCGUAAUGUAAGCUAAUAUUUGAUAUCAGAAAACUUCCCCUCAGCUAUAUGAGUACAUUAGAAAUAACUGUGCCUUUAAAAGAAAACUUUAAAUGUGAACUAAACUUUAACUGGAACUAAAUUCUCAUCAGAGGUGUUUGCCUGUAAGGGUAGCAGUUCAGAUAAACAGGCCCUGAAGCAGAAACAGGAGGCUCACCAGCAGUAUUCUUUAAGUGGGAUAAGAUAGAUAAGUGGAGUGGUCUUGAAAAAAGGGGGCAGGGCAUCCACCAGCCACAGAUGGAUGAGGCCCGAGUGCUUCCUGCUCCUCCUUGCAGAGAAAAUGCUGGCCCUGAAAGCAUGACCAGGAAUGAGAAUCUGCAACGAUCCUUAGUUAAAAGAUAAUAGAGAGGGGGGUAAAUGGAGAGAGAGUAAAGUGCAAAUGAGGUGAGACUGGCCUAGCUGGGAGAGAAGGGCAUUGUUGGGGUAAUGGUUUGGAAGGAAAUCGAUGCGAUUUGGGUUCAUAAAUUCUUCUGAAUCUCGAAAAAUGUGGUUCAGGCACUUCAGUGUUGUUUUGGUGCGGAGCUUCACUGCUGGCUAAGAGGACUGAAAGCAGAACUACAGUAACUCCAUGGACUCUUUGUAGUAGGGGAAAGGAAAGUUUAGGACACUUUGCCAUUUCUGACUUACUGGAAAGCAGAUCUCAGGCUCACAUGUAGCUCAUAUUUGUCAUUUUCCCAGAAACGAGCCUGGUAAAUGUUCUUGGAUGUUGCCAUGGGAGUUGUUGCUGCCUCUGGGUUAUGAUUCAUAUCCACCUCUAAAGACACAUGGCUUGUCCUCUCCAAUCAAAAGGGAAGAGGAGGGAUGACAUGAAGUCCUCAAGAAAACACUGAGAAAUGAAACAGGGCUAUGAGACACCAAACCUUUGCUACCGCACAGGAGAGAGGUCCAGCAUGUGAAAGGGCAGAACCUCCAUCGGGUCUUGAAACACAUCUGAAAUCCAUCAGCACCACUGCUCCUGCAGUGCUUUGUUGUCUGAGCCGUAACACAACGUCCUACGGGGAGGGAAAGUCAUCUUAUGGGCAAGGGAAGAGCUAUCUGUGGUUUUAAGAGGUUGGCUGGGAAUUAAGAGAAUACUUUAUGGUGGUUACACUCUGAAUUUAUAGUUUCCUCCUCUUGCUUUUUAAUGUUAUCCUGCCAAAUUACCUAUGGUUUGUCCCGUGACUACAAGCUACCCUGUGGUCUGACAUGUCCCAGCACCACCUGGGACACAUAAAAAAAGUGAAAACCAAGCAAUCUGUCAACAUUUCAGAGAAGAGAAGGGCUACACCACAAAAUGCAGAUUAUUUUCUGAGCCUAAACUCUAAUUCUCCAGGCUCUUGGGUCAGCACUUCAUACAUUUGCCCUCCGUCAUGAUGAGACAGUGGUGGCAUUUAGGUGCAGAUCAGAACUUCCGCACUCCAAAAAUGUGACUUGGGCACCCCGUUUUCAAAAAACCUGUGGCUGCAAAGUUCAGCAAACACCUACAGCCUAUUAAUCUCUCUGUUUCACCACCUAGAGAUCCGAGCCAUUCUGCACACCUCUGUUGUCAAGAGGUAGAAGAAGGUUCGUCAUCAGUUUCAUCAUCGGUAUCUCCCAGAGGUUUAAAGCACAGUCAGGCACCUACUCAGAGCAGACCUCUUUCAGGAGUAAGCAAAACCAGCAUAUUUGUGAGUAUCUGCUAAGGUGAUGUCCCAGCGUGCAUGAAAGAGUCCCGGAGUAUGACCAACUCAUCUUUGUCCAGGUGGCAGAGGAGAAGAGAAAAUCAAGUCUUCUCCAUGGGUGGCACACUUAGCAUGAAUUUUGUUUCAGAAAGUGCUUGUCUACACAUCCUGAGGUCUGCCUAUGCCUGUCUCUCUGUGAAGGUCCUUCCCCAUCUCUCCAUCUCUCUCUAUAUGCAGGUGACCUCUUCUUCAUCUCUGUCUCCACCCAGCAGGGAGCAUGGGAGCUGUGGCUGCCAUGUGUGGGCUUCCAGCAGAGCUGUUCCCUGUCACCCGUGGCCUCACCAUGAGCAGUAAUGCAAACCCAGUGAUGGGAAUGCUCUGCCCUCCUAGGCGCUGUGUCCCAGCAGCUCACCUCGGUGGCCCUAAAACAAUUAGAAGGUUUGAAGUUUCCCAUGCCCCAGUAGAUACAGACAGGACAACUCAUCUGUUAUUGCAGCCCCAGCGCACAGCACUUUGUAAUGCUAAGCAAAUGAUGUGGGGAAUCGUGAACUUGGCAACCCCUCCUUGACCCUUUCCUGAGUGUAGGGUCAUCCCCAAUAUCCGGGAUGGAUGCUGGUUGAGCUCAUGUACCAGCCUCUUUCAACCACAGUGUGGGGAACCCAAGCAUCCCAACCCAAGGCAUGGCCUGCCAACCCAAGCAUUAAACAUUAAUCGUGGUAGGACUUGCGUUGCUCCACCCCUGAAGCAGACAUAGAUUAGGGAUUUGCUCUCCUGAGCUGACCAUGUGAAGUCAGGCCCUGGAAUCCACUCCCUGCAGCUCAGCCGUAUCUCAUUCAUCUCUUUGGUGCUUUGUCUUUCAUCAGAUGGUGCUGCCCUUUGAGCCUUUUUUGAAGUUUUCUUCCUUCUCCUCCUAGGGGAUUGCAGGGGGACCUGGAGGUCACUCAGGUGCUGGAUCCCAGGCUGCAGAUUUGGGGGAAGCCCAGAGGUGGGCAUUCUGGGACACCCAUUGCUAGGGGUCACCCUGUGGGAGGAGAAGCCCUGGCUGUGCCCAGCGGUGCUGAGUGUGAUGCUGCCCUUAAUUCGUGUGGUCGCUCCCAGUCAGCAGCACCUCUCGCAGGGAUUGCAGAGUAGCCAGUGUGCCACGGCUGGAUUGAGCAGACAGAUUUAAUUAAGUUGCGAUUUAAUUACCUAUCAGCAUCCCUAUUUAAUAAA